rnacentral:lncRNA from 1 species
AUGGGAAUUCUGGGUCCUUGUCCAACCCCUAAUCCUCCGGUUUACUUGAAAGCUCCUGGCCCCAGCCCCGAGCUUGGACUUGAUGCUCUCGGAAGGGAAAUGCUGCAAGCGAUCACAGCUUACGGCUCUCAGCAAGCGCAAGAAGUCGCCCUGUGCUUCCUUGUGCCGCGCGCGCGAUGCCUCCGGGUGCCGCAUGCAACCGGUGCUGGCGGCGCGUGGGACGCCCCACGCUUGGGGCUGGGACUCAACCAUGGCGGAGAAGGCGGGAUGCUUUUGGGAAGGCAGGAUGCUUUCCGAGUCGUGGCACCACUGCUCUCUGCCUCCUGGCGCUUUGGGACUGGAGGGAAACAUCUCCCUGGGGCUCCCCCAGCCUUGGCAUCCUCCCAGCUCCGCGGUGAGGCAAGGACACAGUGGAGCUCUUGGCUGGUGCCCCAGCUCCACGGCAUCGCCCCAGCCCCAAAACACGUCCCCGGGCAGGUUUCCAGAGCUGCCCCCCAGGCGAGGUCUGGCGAGAGGGUUUCCAAGGGGCCACAGCCGGCCGGGACAUUGUCCCCCCUCCUCCUGCCGCCCGUUUCCCCCCGCUGGCCGGUGCCAGGCUGCUUUUGGCAGGAGGGCUGCAGCACCUGGUGCCUGGGUGUCCCCGGCCAUGCCCGGCUGUGCCGCGUCCCCCGCGCGGCUGGAGAAGUUGGUGCCAAACCUUCGGGGCCGGGAAGGUGGCCGCCGCCGGGGGAAAGUGCGAGGGGGCAGCUGACCUCAAAAUUUCCACCAUUGCCUUGCUUUUUAAAGGGGAAAAACGAGGCGGGAAGCGGAGCUGCGCAGCUGCCGCCCCGAGCCAGCGGCUCUCGGACCGAGCCCCGACGGGUGGUGUUGAGGCGCCGGUGUUCGGCUGCGGCCCCGUCCCACUGCUGCCGGCUGCCCCGCGGGCCGCGUCCCCACUGGCACUGCCUGGCCACGGCCUGGCCUGUUCCCUGCUGGAAAACCGGAGCGGAGACCCCUGCCGCCUCCCUGAGCAUCCCGGGCACUGCGCUCCCAGCCCCGGCCGCGACGCCCGCGGGUGCUGCUGCCGCCCCGAGAGGGGUCCCGGCUCCCUGCCUCGGCGGCGAAGCCAGAGGCCUUGCAGGAAGUGCCGCGGCAUUGCCGAGGAUGGAAAAAUCCCGGGGAUCUGCCCUUUCUCCGAGAAGACAUCUGAGCUGGGUGGUGUUUUUCUUUCCAUCCAGUCAGCACGGCCACUUGGAAAUUUCCUACGCCGGCUCCCGGCUGUAA